AACACGACUCUCGGCAACGGAUAUCUCGGCUCUCGCAUCGAUGAAGAACGUAGCAAAAUGCGAUACCUGGUGUGAAUUGCAGAAUCCCGCGAACCAUCGAGUUUUUGAACGCAAGUUGCGCCCGAGGCCUUCUGGUUGAGGGCACGCCUGCCUGGGCGUCACGC
rnacentral:rRNA from 4 species